CUGUAUGUUGUUGGUGUAAAGGAGGAGGAGCUGGUAACAAAAUUUCUGUCAAAAGAUUGUUGUAAUAAUGAAUGCCAUACACUGAUACCACGGGAAAUGAUCGAGAGUACGCGGAACAAUUGUUUAGAGAUGUCGAAAAAUGAACUUGAUUUAGUGAUACUAAGUCACAUCGAAGCUGGAAUUAUGAGUAACGAAAAGCUAGAAAGUGUAUACGCAAAGCUUGCUGGGCGGAAGAAAUAUGGACAGAGACAGGAUACAGAAGUUAUGAGGCAUAGAAUUCAAUUUACCUUCUACAGAGUACCUGUUUGUCGUUCGUUUUUCCUUUUUGUACAUGCCUGUACGACGAAGCGAUACGAAAAUUUAGUACGUCAUUUUCACGCACAGGGUGUAACAGUGCGCCAACACGGACUGGCAAAUAAACCGAGUACACAUCCAAAGUCAUUUAAACCGGCUGACAUCGAAAAAGCUGUUAAAUUCAUCGAGUCUAUAGCCGAUUUAAUGGCUCUUCCACUGCCCGGACGACUCCCAAAAUUUAAGGAUUUUCGGAUAAUGAAACUGCCAUCCAGCGAGACGAAGUCCUCAAUUUAUCGAAAAUACAUUUCUUCACUCAGUGAUGACGAAUUGAAGAUGAGUAAUUGCAGUUUUCGACGGAUAUGUUCCGAAUACAUACCCCAUGUUACAGUUAUGAAACCAGCGGAUGAUCUCUGCGAUGUCUGCCGUGUAUUUUUUCUUUUAAUAGGAAACACAAUAUCGAUUGCGCAAGCCAAAGGUGUUACUGACAUUGAACGCGCACAGAAGCUUAAUCAAUUUCUUGAUCACCUCCACUGAGCCCGAAAUCAACGAGAAUAUUAUCAAAGUUGGUGUAGAAAUACUGACCCUACAGCAGUCGUUCUGUCAUUUGAUUUUACCCAAACCGUUCACUACCCUGUCAGUCCACAACAACCUGGUACAGCAUACUUCAAAGCAACCAAGAAGUGCGGAGUCUUCGGAAUUACAGACGAAAAACAAAAAGUUCAGUACAAUUACAUGAUAGACGAAAAAGAUGACGUUGGUAAAGGACCUAACUGUGUUGUGAGCAUCCUGCAUUAUCACCUGCAAACCUACUAUAAAGACAUUGAAACACUCGUUCUUUUCUGUGACAAUUGUGUUGGGCAGAAUAAGAAUAUCACUGUACUAUCAUAUCUGCAAUGGUGUUUGGCUCGGGGUCUUAACAAAACUAUUUUAUUCAAUUUUCUACUUACCGGGCACACUAAGUUCGCGCCUGAUCGUUACUUCGGUAUUUUCAAAAGUAAGUAU